CCAAGAACAAAUGUCAAAAAGAGAAGUUUGUUCACAGUUCCUGACUGAACAAGGAGGAGAAGACGUUUAAUGGAAAUGUGAAGCUCAUGCCUGGGGCUCCUGGAACCUGUAGAUGAAACUAGGAGUUUGUGGCCAAGCCUACCAACCAUAGCUCCCAACCGUUUCUUGUCUUUUGGCACGUUGGUCCUGAAACCAAGGAGUUGGAGAGAACACCCAGUCCAUUCUUAGCUUUGACUUGGAUUGCACCCGCGACUAGAAGAAACAAUGGAGCCGGUGGCAUUCAGUGCUCCAGAGCUGUACUUCUUAAUGUACCUGUCAGAUGACUGUGGCCUUUGGGUUUCCCUCAGGCAGGCAACACUCCUCGAAAUUGGAAACAUGCAUCUACUUCCUCCAGGUGGACGCAGCCCCAUGCAAGGAUGCAUGGCUUGGACUCCUGAGAUGUUUGGUGGAAUAGAAACUUUGACGUGAUGCCAAGCAAGGUCCUAUAGUUUCUCGGGUGACCCGUUGUACGACUGUGCUAGAAAACUUCAAGUCUGUUAUUCAGAGAACUGCUAAGAGAACCUGUCUUUGGAAGCAAAGGCCCGGGUCUGAAUCUGGACUCAGCCACUUACGACCUCUGUGUUCUUGGUGAUAAAGAUUCCCUCAGGAAGAAUGCGUGACUGCUCGAGAAGCACUGGACUCCCCCAAUCUUUGGAACAUUUUCCCGUG